CUAGACAGACGGGCCUCGAUCCCGCAACACCCUAGUUAACAGCUAAGCACCCAAUCCAGCGGGCUUCUGUCCGGCUUCUUCUUGUUUAAGAAGAAGA
rnacentral:tRNA from 1 species